rnacentral:tRNA from 1 species
GCUCCCGUAGCCCAACGGCAGAGGCAGGUGGCUUAAAACCGCCGCAGUGUGGGUUCGACUCCCACCGGGAGCA